rnacentral:ribozyme from 11 species
UCGAGAGGAAAGAAUGAACGCGAGAAAGAAAGAGAGAAAUCGGAAAGAGAGGCGACCGAUCUGUCUUUUUUGUUUUCUUCUUCGGGAAACUUCAUUCCCUUUACUUUCG